rnacentral:rRNA from 1 species
CAAUAGCGUAUAUUAAAGUUGUUGUAGUUAAAAAGCUCGUAGUUGAAUUUUUGCUUGCCGCCGAUGUCGGAACUUCCGUACGUUCGGCGGCGUGCAUCCUUGGGUGGAACCUGUGUGGCAUUAGGUUGUCGUGCAGGGGAUGCUCAUCGUUUACUGUGAAAAAAUUAGAGUGUUCAAAGCAGGCUUACGCCGUUGAAUAUAUUAGCAUGGAAUAAUAAGAUAGGACCUUGGUACUAUUUUGUUGGUUUGCGCACCGAGGUAAUGAUUAACAGGGACAGUUGGGGGUAUUCGUAUUCCAUUGUCAGAGGUGAAAUUCUUGGAUUUCUGGAAGACGAACUACUGCGAAAGCAUUUACCAAGGAUGUUUUCAUUAA